CAGUACUAACGAUGUACUGAUGUGUGUACUGUGUCCUUCUAGGUGUCCCUGUGGAGGAAAAGAUGUGGGCUUUUCCUGUCAGGAGGCACCAGGCUGUUGGUGAGCUUCCUGUGGUCUCUGGAACCAUGGAGAAUGAUUGGGUGUUGGAGAGCCUGUCUGACUCUGGAACCGAUGAUGAAUAGUCGUCAGAUAGGGAACUGCACUCAGAAGGAUUGGUUGCUGAUCGCUUAGAUUCCACCCACAUCUGCCUAAUUUACCCCAAUAACCACCAGAAGCCUAGCAGAACAGACUCUCCGGAGCCAAGCAUAGACAAGGGGCCCACGGAAGAGGGUCUGUCUCCCUCCCGUUGCCACUAGGCCCCUCCAAAGCGGACCACCGAAGUCAAAGCGAGCUGAGCCUGCCCCUCCCGCCCCUGUGCACCUUGCAGACCCACCCCGGCUAAUACGCCAGAUCCCAUCGAAGCAGCACCACAAGCCUGGCAGUGUGCAAGUAGCCCAGACAGAGGCCACACCACUCCACAGUGAGUCCUGCUCCUGGGAGAGGGGGAGAUAAGGUACACGCCAGUCUGACUGUGGCCUCAGCGGUGGGCUGGGGGCAGACAUCAGGUCUGACUGCGGCCCCGCCCACCAACUCAAGUUACUCCAGACAGCACAGAGGAAGAGCCCUGCAGUUCCGUGCCACUCCAGGGACUAUCCAAAAUGACCAAACGGAGGAAUUCUCCUCAAAAGAAACUCCAGGAAGUAGCGACAGCUUACGAACUGAUCAAAAACGAUGUAAGCAAUAUAGCAGAAAAUGAAUUCAAAAUAAUAGCCAUAAAAUUAAUUGCUGGGCUUGACAAAAGUAUAGAGGCCAGCAGAGAAUCUAUUACUACAGACAUCAAGGGACUAAGAAACAGUCAGGAGGAGCUAAAAAAUGCUAUAAAUGAGCUGCAAAAUAAAAUGGAGGUGACUACAGCUCGGAUUGAAGAGGCAGAGGAGAGAAUAGGUGAAUUAGAAGAUAAAAUUAUGGAAAAAGAAGAAGCUGAGAAAAAGAGAGAUAAAGAAACAUGGCCACUUUGAAAUGGUCUUACCG